AGGCUUUUGGCCAGAUAGACUACACAUUUUUCAA
rnacentral:rRNA from 1 species